GACGAACCUUGCUAACGUUAUUCGGAAUUACUGGGCUUAAAGGGCUCGUAGGCGGCCAACUAAGUCAGACGUGAAAUCCCUCGGCUUAACCGGGGAACUGCGUCUGAUACUGGAUGGCUUGAAUCCGGGAGAGGGAUGCGGAAUUCCAGGUGUAGCGGUGAAAUGCGUAGAUAUCUGGAGGAACACCGGUGGCGAAGGCGGCAUCCUGGACCGGCAUUGACGCUGAGGAGCGAAAGCCAGGGGAGCAAACGGG
rnacentral:rRNA from 1 species